GUAGUGCUUGCACUACUGCCGGCGAGUGGCGAACGGGUGAGUAAUAUAUUGGAACGUACCGAGUAAUGGGGGAUAACCAAUCGAAAGAUUGGCUAAUACCGCAUACGCUCUGAGGAGGAAAGCAGGGGACCUUCGGGCCUUGCGUUAUUCGAGCGGCCAAUAUCUGAUUAGCUAGUUGGUGGGGUAAAGGCCUACCAAGGCGACGAUCAGUAGCGGGUCUGAGAGGAUGAUCCGCCACACUGGGACUGAGACACGGCCCAGACUCCUACGGGAGGCAGCAGUGGGGAAUUUUGGACAAUGGGCGCAAGCCUGAUCCAGCCAUGCCGCGUGUCUGAAGAAGGCCUUCGGGUUGUAAAGGACUUUUGUUAGGGAAGAAAAAGGAGCGGUUAAUACCCGUUUCUGCUGACUUACCUAAGGAAU
rnacentral:rRNA from 1 species